GACGAACGCUGGCGGCGUGCUUAACACAUGCAAGUCGAACGGAAAGGCCCUGCUUUUGUGGGGUGCUCGAGUGGCGAACGGGUGAGUAACACGUGAGUAACCUGCCCUUGACUUUGGGGUAACUUCAGGAAACUGGGGCUAAUACCGGAUAGGAGCUCCUGCUGCAUGGUGGGGGUUGGAAAGUUUCGGCGGUUGGGGAUGGACUCGCGGCUUAUCAGCUUGUUGGUGGGGUAGUGGCUUACCAAGGCUUUGACGGGUAGCCGGCCUGAGAGGGUGACCGGCCACAUUGGGACUGAGAUACGGCCCAGACUCCUACGGGAGGCAGCAGUGGGGAAUAUUGCACAAUGGGCGGAAGCCUGAUGCAGCAACGCCGCGUGCGGGGUGACGGCCUUCGGGUUGUAAACCGCUUUCGCCUGCGACGAAGCGUGAGUGACGGUAAUGGGUAAAGAAGCACCGGCUAACUACGUG
rnacentral:rRNA from 1 species